UGUAGCUCAGUGGCAGAGCACUUGACUGGCAUGCAUGAAGCCUUGGGUUACAUCCCCAGCA
rnacentral:tRNA from 1 species